GAACGUGAGGGUAAUGUGGCUGUAACACCUGUCACCCCAUUGAUGGCCAGCGCUGAUUCAGCCGAUCUGGCUGGCUGGGCGGGUGUCCCCUUGCUCCCUCACCACUCCAUGUGCCCUCCUCCCUAAGCUGCACACUCAGUUGAAGAGGAUGAACCCCCCCAACAGAGGACAGUUUCCUUGGUCAAGGGUAUACGAGUAGCUGCACUGCCCUGCUAGAACCUCCAAACAAGCUCUCAAGAUUUAAAAACUAAAGUGGGGGCAGAAAUCACUCAGAGCGAAGACCCAG
rfam:Fukomys damarensis contig155962, whole genome shotgun sequence.